rnacentral:pre_miRNA from 1 species
UUAGUACUCCCUCCGUCCGAAAAAACUUGUCAUCAAAAUGGACAAAAAGGAAUGUAUCUAGAACUAAAAUACAUCUAGAUACAUCCCCUUUUAUUCAUUUUGAUGACAAGUAUUUUCGAACGGAGGGAGUAUAUG